rnacentral:rRNA from 1 species
AGAACGAACGCUGGCGGCGCGUCUUAAGCAUGCAAGUCGAACGACAAGAGGUAGCAAUACCUCCUAGAGUGGCGGACUGGUGAGUAACACGUGGGUGACAUACCCUUCAGAUGGGGAUAGCUAUUAGAAAUAGUAGAUAAUACCGAAUACGAGCACAGGGGUUAGAGAUCUGUGAGGAAAGGAGCUAAGGCUCCGCUGAAGGAAUGGCCUGCGGCCCAUUAGCUAGUUGGUGAGGUAAGAGCCCACCAAGGCGAUGAUGGGUAUCCGGCCUUAGAGGGUGAACGGACACAUUGGGACUGAGAUACGGCCCAGACUCCUACGGGAGGCAGCAGCUAAGAAUAUUCCGCAAUGGACGAAAGUCUGACGGAGCGACGCCGCGUGGAUGAAAAGAAGGCCGGAAGGUUGUAAGAUCCUUUUGAAACUGAAGAAUAAGCGUUGUAGGGAAUGACAGCGUGGUGACAGUAGGUUUUGAAUAAGCAACGGCUAAUUACGUGCCAGCAGCUGC